UACGUAGGGUGCAAGCGUUGUCCGGAAUUAUUGGGCGUAAAGAGCUCGUAGGCGGUCUGUCACGUCGGCUGUGAAAACCUGGGGCUCAACUCCGGGCCUGCAGCCGAUACGGGCAGACUAGAGUUCGGCAGGGGAGACUGGAAUUCCUGGUGUAGCGGUGGAAUGCGCAGAUAUCAGGAGGAACACCGGUGGCGAAGGCGGGUCUCUGGGCCGAAACUGACGCUGAGGAGCGAAAGCGUGGGGAGCAAACAGG
rnacentral:rRNA from 1 species